CUACGGGUGGCAGCAGUGGGGAAUAUUGGACAAUGGGCGAAAGCCUGAUCCAGCCAUGCCGCGUGUGUGAAGAAGGCCUUCGGGUUGUAAAGCACUUUCAGUGGGGAAGAAAGCCUUGGGGCUAAUACCCUCGAGGAAGGACAUCACCCACAGAAGAAGCACCGGCUAACUCCGUGCCAGCAGCCGCGGUAAUACGGAGGGUGCGAGCGUUAAUCGGAAUUACUGGGCGUAAAGCGCGCGUAGGCGGUCUGAUAAGCCGGUUGUGAAAGCCCCGGGCUCAACCUGGGAACGGCAUCCGGAACUGGCAGGCUAGAGUGCAGGAGAGGAAGGUAGAAUUCCCGGUGUAGCGGUGAAAUGCGUAGAGAUCGGGAGGAAUACCAGUGGCGAAGGCGGCCUUCUGGACUGACACUGACGCUGAGGUGCGAAAGCGUGGGUAGCAAACAGGAUUAGAUACCCUAGUAGUC
rnacentral:rRNA from 1 species